GAAGAGACUUUCUGCUACGUUUGUUUUGCACAUGGAGUAGAAGCGGACUCCGCACGGACGCAAACGGCUUCAUUCCGGGCAGCGAGAUGAAGAAGCAGAGGGAGAGCCAGUGCACUCAGAAGACCAUCUCAUUGCUGAGCCCCCUGGGGACGAUCCAAGUCAGUGGAUGUGAGAAUGGUGUGCACACCAUCCAGAUCCUAAUGGAUGUCGCACCUGCUGAAAGGAGCAGUGAGGCCCCCCUGAGCCGCGUGGUCAACGAUAGCCCGGCAGAAAUGAGCCCCGAGUUGCAGCGCUGCGUCGAAUGGCUCCAGGCGUACUUCAGUGAGCCGCAGACCACUGGGAGUCUCCCGCUCCCUGCCUUUCACCACCCCGCCCUGCGAGGAGACGCAUUCACCAGCCGCGUGUUGCAGACACUUCUGAGGGAUGUGAAGUUUGGAGAGACGGUCUCGUACAAGCGCCUCGCCGAGAUGGCGGGAAACCCCAGAGCGGUGCGGGCAGUGGGAGGGGCCAUGAGGAGGAACCCGGUUCCUCUCCUCAUCCCCUGCCACAGAGUCAUUUCUAGCAGUGGACAGAGUGGGCCGUACAUGAGCGGCAAGGGCAACCAUCUCAAACAAUGGCUGCUCACCCAUGAGAGGCAGAGAAGCGAAGGCUAAAGCAUGACAGAGGCCAACUGUCCAUUCAGUCCACACACACACACACACACACACACACACACACACACACACACACACACACAAGACUAAUUAAUCCAUACACUAAAUUAGGAAUAUAAAUUGUGGUCCCAAUUUAACAAGGUCAGUUUUAACUUCUCCCUUUACACUUUAUUUAACUGUGUUGGAGGAAAAAAGAAAAAAAAAAAAAAAGAGGAGCCCUAUCAAUGUGCUUCGCUUAUUAUGAUUGACGAUUGAUGAUUAAGUCCUCCAGCUGACACACACCACCAAAGCCGGUGAGUUGGAAUUGGAUGUGACACAUACACAGUUCUGCGUGUUAGGUAAUUCGUUGACGAGGGGCCAAAUUCAUUUAUGGAACAGCGGUAUUGGCAGGCAUGGACACUCUCUGCAAAAACAACGAUAAUCACAGAGGUUUGGCGCGGCGUGACAAGGACUCUUCAGGGAAAGGCCCUUACACGCUGCUUUGUUGGCCGUUCCUCCCUAAGAUGGAGGGAAACAUCCGCCACUGUUCUUAAGAUGAGAGACGCUCCGAGCACGAGGAGAGAGGUUUAUGUAAGGUGUGGAUGAUGGUUAAAGGGCUCGAUUAGCACUUGUUGGGUCUGUUUUGAUGGAAUAGCUUGUGCUUCAUUACAAUUACUGGAAUGUUUCGAUUUUUUUUUUUUUACAAAUAAUUUUAGCUUUACUUUUUGUGUGGAAGCAAUAAACGAUUUUUUUGUGGAAUUGAUGAAAUAAAGGGCCUGAUAAAUCCUCUUUAAUGAAACAUGAGCGGGACCCUGUCUCAAACCAUUUAAUCUCUUUUCGCAUUCUCCAUUUUUUCUGCUAAUGAGCCUUAUUGACAAUCAAACAGAAGCUGUCAUCCCCCAGGAUGCAACACUCCCAGCCCCUGCGUGUUUGUCAUAGUGUCCUGGCAAUCAGAGCUGCCUGCAAGACCAGGCUGGCAGUUAGUGGUUCUCACAGCAGCACUGCCUGAAAAUGGCACACUUCCUGUAGAGUUGCAGCUGCCACCUCUGCUACUUCCAUUACUUUCUAUAGCAUGCAGAUGUUGUAUCAACAUUCCCUGCCAAGGGGACUGCAAUAACUGUGAGAUUCAUGCCAUGUUUCAGAGGCACGUCAAUUUCUCAAGUGGCACAAUUAAAGAGGGAAAUACAGUACCAGGUUUUUCACAGGCGCUGAAAUCGGAAAAGGGCUUUUUCACUUUUUUUUCCAAAGGGGGGCUGUUUCAUAAAGGUUCAGAAAUCCACCCGAUUUUUACUGCCCUUUUCCUGAGUUGAGCUGCUCUGUGAGCCUUUGUGCGGCAGACCUGUCGUGACCCACAGCGGAUAUGGAAAUGGGGCUAAGGUUUUAUGGGCCAAACGGAUUGGACACAGUCAAGCUCAGGGGGCAUGAAUAUUGGAUGUUAUUUCUGCUCCCUUUUUAUGUAAUCCAUUGCCAAUACAUUAUUAAUAGAUGAUAUCAUAUCCAGAACUACUGGACAAAGCACUACGGAGGGGUACUAUGAAAGGAGCUCUAUGUGGUGGAGACUGUGGCAGAAAAUACACUUCAAGUGAUAUUAUUUUAUCACCAUAGCCUAACACUCCCUGACCGGGCAAUCUUAACCGUGUGAUUUUUGGACUAAGUGAAGUUCAUCGAACGAAAUUAUAGUGAAUACUGUGUUUCUACCGGGGGGGGGGAAGUAAAUCCUGCAUUUGUGGGUUUGAAAUGCACUGAAACAUUGAUGACGUAUCAAAUGACACCCAAAUACAAGUUUAAUGGAUUUUGAAGCGCUGGGAUACUUUGCUCAUCCUCCUUGACUGCAGUGAGUGAAGUGGAAAUCUUUGCGAGGAUCUAGAGUUUUCCUUGCAAAGCUGACUCCCAGUGUACAGUAGCAGGGGAUCAGUGACUUAUCUGAUGUACCGAUUCACGGACAGGAGACUGCGCUAAUGUGGGACUGUUUAAAAAAUUUUAAAAAACUGUAUUCCCUGUUUUGUUUCAAACGUGGAGUUGUACAAAAAAAAAAAAAAAGGUCAGACUUCUUAUUUUGAUUCAUUGCCCUCUCAAAAGUUAUGAUCUCGGCAGUCACGGCAGCAGUAUCCUACUCGUGUACAAACUUCACGAGAGUCGCAGCCGCUUUUUCUUCUCCUCACAAAACACAUCACUCAGCGGUUACACAAAUCCUGUCUGUCCGAGAACAAAUCCUGCCCAUCGAGCAGAUAAACUAUCAUCCACCUUUUUAGUUUUUACGGCCCGUCUUGAUACUGCACACAUAUUGGCACAAAGUUAUUAGCGUCCAUUAAAAGUGAACGUAUAAGCCCCUUCAAUAAGAGAUAGGGAGUGGAUGCGUAAGGUAAUAUUCUCUUUUUAAGGUCAGUUUGAAUUGUUUUUUCUCAUGGGAAACGGCAGAUUGAUAAAGAGCAAACAAAACCUGUUUUCUGAAUGCUUGUCCUCCAUGGCCUCAAUGAAGGUUUCAUUCCUUUAUAUCGUCCAGCCCAAUUCCCAGCAUGCACGGCCAUUGUGGCUCUUUCAACUGGAGCUCUCCAUUGACUGGUUCAUUGUCCGGCCGCUCUUUUGUGUGCGCUAUCACCGGAGCACAAUCUUUCACCUGAACAG